rnacentral:rRNA from 1 species
GAUGAACGCUGGCGGCGUGCCUAAUACAUGCAAGUCGAGCGAACAGACGAGGAGCUUGCUCCUCUGACGUUAGCAGCGGACGGGUGAGUAACACGUGGAUAACCUACCUCUAAGACUGGGAUAACUUCGGGAAACCGGAGCUAAUACCGGAUAAUAUAUUGAACCGCAUGGUUCAAUAGUGAAAGACGGUUUUGCUGUCACUUAUAGAUGGAUCCGCGCCGCAUUAGCGAGUUGGUAAGGUAACGGCUUCCCAAGGCCACGAUGCGUAGCCGACCUGCGAAGGUGUAGGGGCACACUGGGGGUGGAACGCGGUCUAGACACCGAGAGGAGGCAGAGGUAGGGAAUGGAGCGCGAUGGGGGGAAGACUGACGGAGCAGCGCCGGGUGAGUGCUGAGGGUCUGCGGAGCGUAAGACUGUGUUAGUAUUGAAGAACAAUUGUGUAAGUAACUAUGCACGUCGUGACGGUACCUAGUCAGAAAGCCACGGCUAACUACGUG